CACAAGUUAAAGAUUGGCGAUCCGUUGGAUACUGACCGAGUUAUAGGCAAAAGUUGGUGCAAAAAUGAGGAAAAUUUUACAUUUUCUCAAACAGGGUAGGGAACUUGGUUCCUCGGAUAGCUUCUGGCACAGACAUCUGAGGGCAUGGCCGUCCAAGAAGAAAAUGUAGCCAUUGGGGCCAUCUAUCGGUCGCAAGUUAAAGAUUGGCGAUCCGUAGGAUACCGACCGAGUUAUAGGCAAAAGUUGGUGCAAAAAUGAGCCUAAUGAAAUUUUUAAAUUUUUAUAUUUUUUUAAUUUUUUUCUGAUUUUUUACUCUUUUUUUAAUUUAAAGCAUUAUUUGAGUGAAAAGAAACUCAUUGCAACCUAUUGGCAUUAAAAUAAAUCAAUUUAAAUUUUUUUGCAAAAUUUCUCAAAAAAUGGCAAGGGGUACCCCUUAUGAAAUUUUCGAGUUGAAAAUUUUUUAAAUUUUUUUUUCUGAUUUUUUAUACUUUUUUUAAUUUAAAGCAUUAUUUAAGUGAAAAGAAACUCAUUGCAACAAAAUUUGCAUUAAAAUAUAUCAUAUUUAUAAAUUUUGCUAAAUUACUCAAAAAUGAAGAAAAUUUUACAUUUUCUCAAACAGGGUAGGGAACUUGGUUUCUCGAAUAACUUCUGGCACAGACAUCUGAGGGCAUGGCCGUCCAAGAAGAAAAUGUAGCCAUUGGGGCCAUCUAUCUGCCACAAGUUAAAGAUUGGCGAUCCGUAGGAUACCGACCGAGUUAUAGGCAAAAUUUGGUGCAAAAAUGAGGAAAAUUUUACAUUUUCUCAAACAGGGUAAGGAACUUGGUUCCUCGGAUAACUUCUGGCACAGACAUCUGAGGGCAUGGCCGUCCAAGAAGAAAAUGUAGCCAUUGGUGCCAUCUAUCGGCCACAAGUUAAAGAUUGGCGAUCCGUUGGAUACCGACCGAGUUAUAGGCAAAAGUUGGUGCAAAAAUGAGGAAAAUUUUACAUUUUCUCAAACAGGGUAAGGAACUUGGUUCCUCGGAUAGCUUCUGGCACAGACAUCUGAGGGCAUGGCCGUCCAAGAAGAAAAUGUAGCCAUUGGUGCCAUUUAUCGACCACAGGUUAAAGAUUGGCGAUCCGUUGGAUACCGACCGAGUUAUAGGCAAAAUUUGGUGCAAAAAUGAGGAAAAUUUUACAUUUUCUCAAACAGGGUAAGGAACUUGGUUCCUCGGAUAACUUCUGGCACAGACAUCUGAGGGGAUGGCCGUCCAAGAAUAAAAUGUAGCCAUUGGGGCCAUCUAUCGGCCACAAGUUAAAGAUUGGCGAUCCGUAGGAUACCGACCGAGUUAUAGGCAAAAGUUAGUGCAAAAAUGAGCCUAAUGAAAUUUUUAAAUUUUAAUAUUUUUUUAAAUUUUUUCUGAUUUUUUACUCUUUUUUUAAUUUAAAGCAUUAUUUGAGUGAAAAGAAACUCAUUGCAACCUAUUGGCAUUAAAAUAAAUCAAUUUAAAUUUUUUUGCAAAAUUUCUCAAAAAAAUGGCAAGGGGUACCCCUUAUGAAAUUUUCGAGUUGAAAUUUUUUUAAAUUUUUUUUUCUGAUUUUUUAUACUUUUUUUAAUUUAAAGCAUUAUUUAAGUGAAAAGAAACUCAUUGCAACAAAAUUUGCAUUAAAAUAUAUCAUAUUUAUAAAUUUUGCUAAAUUACUCAAAAAUGAAGAAAAUUUUACAUUUUCUCAAACAGGGUAAGGAACUUGGUUCCUCGGAUAAUUUCUGGCACAGACAUCUUAGGGGAUGGCCGUCCAAGAAGAAAAUGUAGCCAUUGGGGCCAUCUAUCGGCCACAAGUUAAAGAUUGGCGAUCCGUAGGAUACCGACCGAGUUAUAGGCAAAAGUUGGUGCAAAAAUGAGGAAAAUUUUACAUUUUCUCAAACAGGGUAAGGAACUUGGUUCCUCGGAUAGCUUCUGGCACAGACAUCUGAGGGCAUGGCCGUCCAAGAAGAAAAUGUAGCCAUUGGGGCCAUCUAUCGGCCACAAGUUAAAGAUUGGCGAUCCGUUGGAUACCGACCGAGUUAUAGGCAAAAGUUGGUGCAAAAAUGAGCCUAAUGAAAUUUUGAAAUGUUUAUAUUUUUUUAAAUUUUUUCUGAUUUUUUAGUCUUUUUUUAAUUUAAAGCAUUAUUUGAGUGAAAAGAAACUCAUUGCAACCAAUUGGCAUUAAAAUAAAUCAAUUUUAAUUUUUUUGCAAAAUUUCUCAAAAAAAUGGCAAGGGGUACCCCUUAUGAAAUUUUCGAGUUGAAAAUUUUUUAAAUUUUUUUUUCUGAUUUUUUAUACUUUUUUUAAUUUAAAGCAUUAUUUAAGUGAAAAGAAACUUAUUGCAACAAAAUUUGCAUUAAAAUAUAUCAUAUUUAUAAAUUUUGCUAAAUUAUUCAAAAAUGAAGAAAAUUUUACAUUUUCUCAAACAGGGUAGGGAACUUGGUUUCUCGAAUAACUUCUGGCACAGACAUCUGAGGGCAUGGCCGUCCAAGAAGAAAAUGUAGCCAUUGGGGCCAUCUAUCGACCACAGGUUAAAGAUUGGCGAUCCGUUGGAUACCGACCGAGUUAUAGGCAAAAGUUGGUGCAAAAAUGAGGAAAAUUUUACAUUUUCUCAAACAGGGUAGGGAACUUGGUUUCUCGAAUUACUUCUGGCACAGACAUCUGAGGGCAUGGCCGUCCAAGAAGAAAAUGUAGCCAUUGGGGCCAUCUAUCGACCACAGGUUAAAGAUUGGCGAUCCGUUGGAUACCGACCGAGUUAUAGGCAAAAGUUGGUGCAAAAAUUAGGAAAAUUUUACAUUUUCUCAAACAGGGUAAGGAACUUGGUUCCUCGGAUAACUUCUGGCACAGACAUCUGAGGGCAUGGCCGUCCAAGAAGAAAAUGUAGCCAUUGGGGCCAUCUAUCGACCACAGGUUAAAGAUUGGCGAUCCGUUGGAUACCGACCGAGUUAUAGGCAAAAGUUGGUGCAAAAAUGAGGAAAAUUUUACAUUUUCUCAAACAGGGUAAGGAACUUGGUUCCUCGGAUAACUUCUGGCACAGACAUCUGAGGGCAUGGCCGUCCAAGAAGAAAAUGUAGCCAUUGGUGCCAUCUAUCGGUCACAAGUUAAAGAUUGGCGAUCCGUAGGAUACCGACCGAGUUAUAGGCAAAAGUUGGUGCAAAAAUGAGCCUAAUGAAAUUUUUAAAUUUUUAUAUUUUUUUAAAUUUUUUCUGAUUUUUUACUCUUUUUUUAAUUUAAAGCAUUAUUUGAGUGAAAAGAAACUCAUUGCAACCUAUUGGCAUUAAAAUAAAUCAAUUUAAAUUUUUUUGCAAAAUUUCUCAAAAAAAUGGCAAGGGGUACCCCUUAUGAAAUUUUCGAGUUGAAAAUUUUUUAAAUUUUUUUUCUGAUUUUUUAUACUUUUUUUAAUUUAAAGCAUUAUUUAAGUGAAAAGAAACUUAUUGCAACAAAAUUUGCAUUAAAAUAUAUCAUAUUUAUAAAUUUUGCUAAAUUACUCAAAAAUGAAGAAAAUUUUACAUUUUCUCAAACAGGGUAGGGAACUUGGUUUCUCGAAUAACUUCUGGCACAGACAUCUGAGGGCAUGGCCGUCCAAGAAGAAAAUGUAGCCAUUGGUGUCAUCUAUCGACCACAGGUUAAAGAUUGGCGAUCCGUUGGAUACCGACCGAGUUAUAGGCAAAAGUUGGUGCAAAAAUGAGGAAAAUUUUACAUUUUCUCAAACAGGGUAGGGAACUUGGUUUCUCGAAUUACUUCUGGCACAGACAUCUGAGGGCAUGGCCGUUCAAGAAGAAAAUGUAGCCAUUGGGGCCAUCUAUCGACCACAAGUUAAAGAUUGGCGAUCCGUUGGAUACCGACCGAGUUAUAGGCAAAAGUUGGUGCAAAAAUGAGGAAAAUUUUACAUUUUCUCAAACAGGGUAAGGAACUUGGUUCCUCGGAUAACUUCUGGCACAGACAUCUGAGGGCAUGGCCGUCCAAGAAGAAAAUGUAGCCAUUGGUGCCAUCUAUCGACCACAGGUUAAAGAUUGGCGAUCCGUAGGAUACCGACCGAGUUAUAGGCAAAACUUGGUGCAAAAAUGAGGAAAAUUUUACAUUUUCUCAAACAGGGUAAGGAACUUGGUUCCUCGGAUAACUUCUGGCACAGACAUCUGAGGGCAUGGCCGUCCAAAAAGAAAAUGUAGCCAUUGGUGCCAUCUAUCGGUCACAAGUUAAAGAUUGUCGAUCCGUAGGAUACCGACCGAGUUAUAGGCAAAAGUUGGUGCAAAAAUGAAGAAAAUUUUACAUUUUCUCAAACAGGGUAGGUAACUUGGUUUCUCGAAUAACUUCUGGCACAGACAUCUGAGGGCAUGGCCGUCCAAGAAGAAAAUGUAGCCAUUGGUGCCAUCUAUCGACCACAGGUUAAAGAUUGGCGAUCCGUAGGAUACCGACCGAGUUAUAGGCAAAAGUUGGUGCAAAAAUGAGGAAAAUUUUACAUUUUCUCAAACAGGGUAGGGAACUUGGUUUCUCGAAUUACUUCUGGCACAGACAUCUGAGGGCAUGGCCGUCCAAGAAGAAAAUGUAGCCAUUGGUGCCAUCUAUCGACCACAGGUUAAAGAUUGGCGAUCCGUAGGAUACCGACCGAGUUAUAGGCAAAAGUUGGUGCAAAAAUGAGGAAAAUUUUACAUUUUCUCAAACAGGGUAAGGAACUUGGUUCCUCGGAUAACUUCUGGCACAGACAUCUGAGGGCAUGGCCGUCUAAGAAGAAAAUGUAGCCAUUGGUGCCAUCUAUCGACCACAGGUUAAAGAUUGGCGAUCCGUAGGAUACCGACCGAGUUAUAGGCAAAAGUUGGUGCAAAAAUGAGGAAAAUUUUACAUUUUCUCAAACAGGGUAAGGAACUUGGUUCCUCGGAUAACUUCUGGCACAGACAUCUGAGGGCAUGGCCGUCCAAGAAGAAAAUGUAGCCAUUGGGGCCAUCUAUCGACCACAAGUUAAAGAUUGGCGAUCCGUUGGAUACCGACCGAGUUAUAGGCAAAAGUUGGUGCAAAAAUUAGGAAAAUUUUACAUUUUCUCAAACAGGGUAAGGAACUUGGUUCCUCGGAUAACUUCUGGCACAGACAUCUGAGGGCAUGGCCGUCCAAGAAGAAAAUGUAGCCAUUGGUGCCAUCUAUCGACCACAGGUUAAAGAUUGGCGAUCCGUAGCAUACCGACCGAGUUAUAGGCAAAAGUUGGUGCAAAAAUGAGGAAAAUUUUACAUUUUCUCAAACAGGGUAAGGAACUUGGUUCCUCGGAUAACUUCUGGCACAGACAUCUGAGGGCAUGGCCGUCCAAGAAGAAAAUGUAGCCAUUGGUGCCAUCUAUCGGUCACAAGUUAAAGAUUGGCGAUCCGUAGGAUACCGACCGAGUUAUAGGCAAAAGUUGGUGCAAAAAUGAGCCUAAUGAAAUUUUUAAAUUUUUAUAUUUUUUUAAAUUUUUUCUGAUUUUUUACUCUUUUUUUAAUUUAAAGCAUUAUUUGAGUGAAAAGAAACUCAUUGCAACCUAUUGGCAUUAAAAUAAAUCAAUUUAAAUUUUUUUGCAAAAUUUCUCAAAAAAAUGGCAAGGGGUACCCCUUAUGAAAUUUUCGAGUUGAAAAUUUUUUAAAUUUUUUUUCUGAUUUUUUAUACUUUUUUUAAUUUAAAGCAUUAUUUAAGUGAAAAGAAACUUAUUGCAACAAAAUUUGCAUUAAAAUAUAUCAUAUUUAUAAAUUUUGCUAAAUUACUCAAAAAUGAAGAAAAUUUUACAUUUUCUCAAACAGGGUAGGGAACUUGGUUUCUCGAAUAACUUCUGGCACAGACAUCUGAGGGCAUGGCCGUCCAAGAAGAAAAUGUAGCCAUUGGUGUCAUCUAUCGACCACAGGUUAAAGAUUGGCGAUCCGUUGGAUACCGACCGAGUUAUAGGCAAAAGUUGGUGCAAAAAUGAGGAAAAUUUUACAUUUUCUCAAACAGGGUAGGGAACUUGGUUUCUCGAAUUACUUCUGGCACAGACAUCUGAGGGCAUGGCCGUUCAAGAAGAAAAUGUAGCCAUUGGGGCCAUCUAUCGACCACAAGUUAAAGAUUGGCGAUCCGUUGGAUACCGACCGAGUUAUAGGCAAAAGUUGGUGCAAAAAUGAGGAAAAUUUUACAUUUUCUCAAACAGGGUAAGGAACUUGGUUCCUCGUAUAACUUCUGGCACAGACAUCUGAGGGCAUGGCCGUCCAAGAAGAAAAUGUAGCCAUUGGGGCCAUCUAUCGG